UCGGGAAUAUUGGACAAUGGAGGAAACUCUGAUCCAGUGACGCCGCGUGAAGGAAGAAGGUCUUCGGAUUGUAAACUUAUUUUGUCAGGGAAGAAAAAAAUGACAGUACCUGAAGAAAAAGCACCGGCCAACUACGUGCCAGCAGCCGCGGUAAUACGUAGGGUGCAAGCGUUAUCCGGAUUUACUGGGUGUAAAGGGCGAGUAGACGGUUAUCUAAGUCAGUUGUGAAAACUCAGUGCUCAACAUUGAGCGUGCAACUGAAACUAGACUACUAGAGUGCAGGAGAGGAAAAUGGAAUUCCUAGUGUAGCGGUGAAAUGCGUAGAUAUUAGGAGGAACACCAGUGGCGAAGGCGAUUUUCUGGACUGUAACUGACGUUGAGGCGCGAAAGUGUGGGGAGCAAACAGGA
rnacentral:rRNA from 1 species